GGAGUUAGGAAAUGCAGGUGCGUUAAUAGCGCACUUGUUUGACUAAGGCUCCAGAGGAAGCCACGGCUAACUCUGUGCCAGCAGCCGCGGUAAUACAGAGGCGGCAAGCGUUGUUCGGAAUUAUUGGGCGUAAAGAGCACGUAGGCGGCCUUGCAAGUCAGUUGUGAAAGCCUUCCGCUUAACGGAAGAACGGCAUCUGAUACUACAGGGCUUGAGUACGGGAGGGGAGAGUGGAACU
rnacentral:rRNA from 1 species